rnacentral:misc_RNA from 1 species
GAUGAAGAACGUAGCGAAAUGCGAUACUUGGUGUGAAUUGCAGAAUCCCGUGAACCAUCGAGUUUUUGAACGCAAGUUGCGCCCGAAGCCGUUAGGCCGAGGGCACGCCUGCCUGGGCGUCACACGUCGUUGCCCCCCCAUCUACUCCUUCGGGAUUGCGGGGGGCGGAUGAUGGCCUCCCGUGCGCCUCGUCGCGCGGUUGGCAUAAAUGCCAAGUCCUCGGCGACGCACGCCACGACAAUCGGUGGUUGCGAAACCUCGGUUGCCCGUCGUGUGCGGUCGUCGCGCAUCGAGGGCUCGAAAAAAUUGCCGGGCUCCGGCUCGGCUUUCAACGCGACCCCAGGUCAGGCGGGGUUACCCGCUGAAUUUAAGCAUAUCAAUAAGCGGAGGA